rnacentral:lncRNA from 1 species
GUUGUUGUUGAAUUGUUCCCGUAAUUCGAGCUCGGAAGCCUGAGCGGAGAAGAGGAGGUGCAGAAACUUCGCGAAGAGGGGAGUCAAAUCGAGAGUGGCGGAGACCACGCCCUUGGCAAAAACCUUCCAGAGUUUCAAGAAGAAAUUGGCGGCAACUUUGAAGGCUUCUAUAGCAAGGUGAAGGCCAGGGGCGGUGGUACGGUCGCAAGAGGCAGCAAUCUGGCUGCAUAUGGCUCCAAGGUUGAAGACAACGGCGGCCUUCUCCAAUUGGAUGGCGUUGCGCUCUGAGGAGACCCCAUCCUGAUGGUCAGGGUUGAAGGCGUCGUACCAGACAAAGAUGAUGGGAUCCACGUCGGCGUCGGAGGAGAUAGAGGUGAAGAGUAGCUCAACCAUGGAAAGGCAUUUGAAGUAGUGGAUGAGGCAGUCACGUUGCAUGGGAAGGGAGAGGUCCCCUCCACGCUCCACCAUGUCCCUGCGGCAUUUGUUUAGGGUUUCCAGAACGCUUUCAACUCUUUGUGCAUCGUUCUCCGAGUAUUUUGAGACUACCAACUUACGUAACGGCAGGUACAGUUCCACCGGAUCAGUCUUCUUCAGUGGGAUUGACAGCACCCGAUCAUCGUUGUUCAUGGCGGCGUCCAAUGAUACGAUUAGGAAUCCGAGAAUUGGAAUUGGAUUUGCAAAUUUCGCACUCCUCCCCUCCCUCCUUUUAAACUAUUCGGUUAUAAAAUUUAAAUUUUAAAUAAGCUAAAAAAAAAUCGCUUUUUAUUUUCAAUAUUGGAGCGGGAGUGGAGUUGGACGCCAUAAUGGGGGAGGGAGGGACUUCACUAGUUUGUGGUGUCAGCCUAGUAACAACUCGGACCCUCCGAGUUCUAACAAGUUACACGAACUGUCCGAUUUUUCUCUCAGCAGACGCACGGUCUGAUUUCAAAGGGGAAGGACACGCGUCGCGUUGCAGCAACUCUCCAAACGGUGCCCUGAAACCAAACACUUAUUCAUGCAUUCACCUCUCUCACCAUCCGAAAAUAUCACUCUAUUAGAUUUCAUUUUCAAGUUGAAGUCCAUUUUUCUUUUUCUUUCUCCUCAGCUGUGCAUGAUUGAAGAAAUAAAAGCAUGCCAAAGAAAAAUAAAAUUAGGAAUGUUGAUCAACCUGAAUUUCAUGUUAUGCAUUAUCUCAGUCAUCCUGAUUAUGUAAGUUUUUUUUUAAUAUUUUUAAAUUUUUUUAUUUAAAAUUAUUAUUGUAAACUAUUUACUUCUUAUGAUUGUUGUUAUUAGAAGUGCAAAUUAAAAAUAUAAAUAGAAUGAUUAUUAGUAUUUUUUAGCAUUUACAUGAAUUAACUUUAGAAGUUAGAAUUAUCUAUUUUAUAAGGAUUUAGUAAAUAAAUUUAUGGUAGUAACUUGUUUUUUGUUGAGCUAUUUGUGCAAAUUUUGUAACCAUGAUAUUUAUUUAAUUUUGGUAGGAGUUUAUUGUUUUAGUUGUUGUGGCUACAAAAAUUAUUUUAUUUUAGUAGUAAGUUAGUAAGUGUUAAGAAGUUGACUAAUACUUUGUUAUGUUUUUUGUAGAAGUUGAGAAUGUUGACAUGUGAUCACUCAGUUCCUCCGGAUUGGUACAACGAUAGGGUGGAGGAGCAUUUACGACUUACCGGCUUUUAUCAUGCAUCACAGAUUGGGGUAGUCCAAUGUCAAAAGGCACUGGUGAAUGCUCUAAUCGAGCGGUGGCACCCCGACACACAUACGUUUCACCUUCCCAUUGGUGAAUGUGCCGUGACUCUUGAAGAUGUGGCUCUAAUUCUUGGUCUUCCGACUGACGGACUUCCAGUUACAGGAUGACAAUGAGUAGUUUCGAAGCUUUGGAGGCGGAGUGUUUGCAUCAAUUCGGAGUUGCACCGCGUAAGUCGGACUGUAGAGGCAGCUGCAUAAAACUGACUCGGCUGCGGGAUCUUAAAGAAAAUUUACAGUUGACUGAUGAAAUUGGUAUACAGAGGUAUGUCAAGUGCCACAUUAUGUUGCUUAUGUGGACGAUCUUAUUUGGGGAUAAAUCAGGAGCAGGUGUGCACUGGAAGUUUCUACCCUUGCUUCGUGAUUUUGGCAGUAUUAUACAAUAUAGUUGGGGAUCUGCAUGCCUAGCACACCUCUACAGGGCGUUAUGUCGGGCAUCUCGAGUUGACUGUAAGAAAAUAGAUGGUCGGUCCACUAACACUUCUGCUCGGUUGGGCUUGGAUCCGACUGCCAUAUCUAUCGCCGGUUCCUAGAGAGUCCCGCAGUUUUCCGCUAGCAAACAGUUUUCGUGAAUUCACACUCUCAACAUGCAACUCGGACCAUUCGAGUUGAUGUUCCAAGGUUUAACGUUUAAAUCCCCAACUCAAGGAACACGAAGGGUUCGAUUUAUACCUACCCAAAUUUGUUUCCUAUAACCUCCCAAAUUGGACCAUGCGAUUUGAUGGAGAAAACUUUAGUAACGAAGAACUCGGACGGUCCGAGUUCUUCUUCCAAAAGUUGCCAAAAAUCUAUCCCACAUACAUGUCUAGUCCCCUUGAUUUCAUAUCGAAUAAUAGCACACAUAUAGGGUCCAUUUCCAUAAAAUUGAGCCAAAAAAAAUCUCUCAUUUAUUUUAUCUUUUAAUUGUGGCGCAUAAAAAAGUGCUUGUGUUUAGCGUUCCUGUUUAAAUUAAUAUUCAUUUACUCGAUGAUGAUUCAGAUGGCCAUCAUGAUCGCGAUCCUAAUGAUCCUGAAACAAGUGUUCUUUCGUUGUGAGCCGAAAAACUCCUGCUAUGGGAGGCGUGGAUACUUUUUAAUCUUUCUAUACUAAUAAAUUUGGAAGAAUUCAAGCUAACAUAGCAUUUUAAUAGAAUUAUGAGUUUUCUUAAAAAUGAAAUUGUUCUAAAAUCAGAUCUUUCUAUCAAAUGCAUAUAUAUGUAAGCUACAAAAUAUAAUCUAAUGAUGAUUUUUACCAUCUACGUAGGUAUGGUUUAAUAGGUCUGAAACUAUUUCCACUUUUCAAUAUUUUUAUAAACAUGGAGGCGUGUAUUUAAUUAGAAACUUUUAAAUUAAUUUGCGAAUUUUGUAUUUUUUAGAAAAGAUCAGGUUGGUGAAGAUUGCAGAAACAAAUAUCACAUAGAACUCUUUUUUUUUUUAAAAUGUGCAGUAUAGUUAAAUACCAAGUGUUUUUAUGAUCACAAAUUUUCAAUAUUUAAUGAUUAAAUAAGACGUAUUUAUCAUCUUAAAUUUCAAUCAAUUUUUAUAUUUUCGUAAGUAAAAUUGGAUUUAUCUCUUUUGAAAUAAAUAGAUUUAUAGAGAAAAAUAACUAUUCUUGGAUUAUAAACUUUUAUUUGAGUGUUUUAAAAAUAAUUUAAAGAUAAUAAAUCAUAUUUUUACUAGGAAGGGCACUAUAAACAGGUAAUAUUAUCAAUUCUGGAACAUUCUUAACUAAUCCCUUCAUUCUUUCAUAGAGAGAUUGACAAGCAAAAUCAAUCUCCUCUUGGCCAGUCAAGAAGAGAAGAAUGGCUCCUUCAGGUUCUGUCAAGUGGAUCUGUAGGACAGUGAUUAAAGCUGCAUCUAAGUAAUCACUUUCUGGCUGCUUACUAUAAAGAAUCUCCACAGGGAAAGUUCUCCCGGGUAUUGUAAAUAUGUUACAGUUAAAGAAAUAUCCUGAGAACUUCUCUCCAUCCAGAGUGGCAGAUGUGACAAUCAAUCACAACUCAGGUCUACGCUGCACUAGCUGCUUAAGCAGUCCAAAAAGAACAUCAGUAUUAAUGGUCCUUUCAUGGGCUUCAUCAAGCAUUAUGACAGAAUACUGUGACAGAUUCUCAUCAGCCAGUAUUUCCCUAAGAAGCAUACCUUCGGUCAUGUACUUGAUUACAGUAUCUGGUCCCGUAGAAUCUUCAAACCGAAUGGCAUAACCAACUUCCUCUCCCAAUUGACAUCCAAACUCUUCUGCCACUCUCUUUGCAACUGACGUUGCAGCCACCCUACGAGGUUGAGUGCAUCCAAUUUUACCUCUUGUGGUGUAACCUGCUUCAGCAAGAUACUGUGUGAUCUGAGUAGUUUUGCCUGAACCUGUUUCACCAAUUACCACCAACACCUGAUUAUCAUGGACAGCCUGAAUCAAUUCCUUUUUUUAACUUGUAAAUUGGGAGACUCUGCCUCUGUUCUUGAAUAGAAAGCUUUGACCUUUGCCCAAAAGUAAUGGUCUUCCCAUAAGCAUCAUUCUUCCAUUCUGGCAUAUAUCAUAGGCUGACAAACCAACACCCGUAAGCUCCUGAGCAAGAUGCCUUUCAUCAGACUCUGGCUAGGGUCUUCCCAAGGACGAUUGAGAUCCUUUGGAAUAGAAUCAAGCAUGGUGCGCUGCUGCUGUUCUCGUACUUCUCUACGCUCCUUUAUAAGUGCAGACUGGAGGGCAGCAGCACGACCAAGAGAACCCUCUGGAUUUUUGACAUCCCCUUAUGCAAUUCCGAUAACAAUGCACCAGAAUGUCCAAAGAGAAUAACUUCAAUAUAUACGUGUAACUUGAACCAAAAAUACCUUGAAAUUACUAGAUAGUCAAGGACAAGAACAAGUUACCUUUUUUACCUACUGGCGAUGCUGUUGUGAUAGAAUUCCUUCACAGCACAGGCAAUAAAGACUAAAGAGUAACAAAAAACAUGUAUGAUGAAGGAAAUACAACUCACCUUCAUUACUUUUGCAUAGGGAUGAUUAUUCAUCAAUAAUCAUCAAGCCUAUUGAUUCUAUCUUCAAGAAAGCCUUUCUUUGGUAUAAGACAUCAAAUAUUACUGUUAUAAUAACCAUAGAGCUAGGUUGAGAGUAUUCAUGAGUUUAUCAUCAGAAAAAUUAAUCAAACCAAUUGUUUGUAAAACAUGUCAUUGAAUGUGAAAUUCAUAGACUAAAAAUCAUAACAAUAAAUGAAAAUGAAAUCAAACAUGAUUGAAAGAACACAAACAAAAGUAGCAUUGUAAUUAUAGUAUUAGGAGCAUGUGAUAAGAACAUAUCUCAUUUUCACUAAUUAUGGAAUUGCCUGCUGCUUACAGUAUGGUUAAGAAAGCGGGAGGGCUUUGUAUUGCCGAUGAAGUUCAGGCCGGCUUCACCAUUUCUGGGGAUUUGAGUCUCAUGGUGUUGUUCCUGACAUCCAUAUUGAUGAAUUGAGAAUAAAACAUAGAUUUCAUCAUUAUAAAUGACUUGUCAGGGCAUUGGAGAUGGCAUUCCCUUUGGUGCUGUUGUAACUACUCCAGAGAUUGCUGAGUUCUGAAAGUAAUAGAGAAAGAGAAUGCUCUUCUUGUUGGAUCUUACUUGAAGGAGAGGCUAACUGCACUCAAAGAUAAAUAUGAAUGUAAUCUUUUUCCCUGUUUUCCUUCCCCAUUAUUGUUAUUUCAAUUUAUUCAGGACUUGUUUUUUUCUUUUCCCUAGACAUAAUUGGUUUCAUCUUUCAUGUGAGAGGAAGAGGCCUCAUGCUCCGCGAUCGAGAACUUAAAACUCCUGCAAAAGCCGAAACACGAAGAAUCCUCAAAAGGUCUCAGACUUAAUCAACAAGAGACAGUUAUGUCAACAGGACCUCUUUUGUCGAGUUUGAAGCAAAACAAUUCAUCGAAGGGCGACUUUAGAGUUUCUCCAUUUUGAAUCUAACUCAUCAAUUAGUUUAGUUGUAUAGGUUAGUAUCUCUCUAUUUUCAUUCGAGUGAUCGAUUUACAUUCUAACUAUUUAUUCACUAAAAAAUAAGAAUGAUUCUAAAUGAAACAAUAUUAUUUGCUUAAUUAUUAGGCAUUUAUGGAAAUUGGAAACACUGAAUAAGUUCAAUUUACCAAUAUGCAACGAUAACUAGCAUAGGUACGAGAUCAGAUCACAGGCAUACAAAUCACAACAAAUUGGGGUUGAAUAAGAAGGAAUAUAUUCAUAAACCAAGCAACAAAAUCACGAGGAUAAUAUUUCACAGAAAGAGUUCUAGCAUCAACCAACAAAGUUCCAACAUCCAAUUUAAAAAAGAAAAUAAGAUAAUUCCUAAAGCUUUUCUCUACGGUAAUGUUACUGUUGUGUCGUCUCCUGCAAGCUCAUGUUCUCCAAUGCCAAAUUUGGUGCCUCUAAGAUUGCAUUGGCCACAAGAUUUCCAUCCUCAAUCUUGACAGGGCUAAACUCAGAGAGAAGGUCCAAGCAUUCUGCUUCACAUACCCCAUGAGGCAGAGAGUCAGCCCCAAAAUGAAGCAGGGAGUGAGCCUUACAAUACCCUAAAAGAAAUUGUUCAGUGACAUCACUCGGAUCAUAAUUAGCUAAAGGCCCAUCUCUCGACAUAUUAGCUGAAUCCUGUAUCAUCUCAAUCAAACAAUUUAACAAAUCAAGAUUGACAUCAAUCAAUUGUAUUAAGAAAAAAUCAACUGAAAAGCUAGAUGAUUAUACAUACAGGUAAUGAAGACACAUCACGAAACUUCCUUUUCAAGUGGGCAAACUCAUUGUGAAUCUCAUCUUGUAUCGCAUCGAAGUAUUUUCCGGACAAGUCAAUCGUGCCAGAUGCCUGCUUAGACUCACGCCUCAGCCUCAUUUUACCGUUCCAAUAAAAAGCAUCCUUUAAGGCGUCCUUGGCAAGGCGAUAGCCAUGGAUGGUGCCUUGAUCGCAGGAGAGAGCAAUGUGGAUGCAGAGGGCUCCCAGGUUGAAGAGAACAGAGGCCUUCUCCAAAUGGAUGUUAUGCUGAGAAGAGUGAUGUUGAGGGAUGAUGGCAUUGUACCAAACAAAGACAGGUGGGUUGGGUGAGGCUUUCAUAGGAAAGAAAGGCUCAAUCAUGCAAAGGCAUUUGAAAUAAAGGACGAGGCAGUCACGGCGAAAGGGUAGAGAAAGGUCAUCACGCAGCAUCUCAUUGCGCAAUUUGUGUAGCAUUUCGAGAAAGCCUUCUACUCUUUUUGCCACGCUCUCAGAGUAUUUGAGGACAAAGUAACUGCGCAGGGACUCAUAGAGAUCAUUCAAGGGCUCACUCUUCUUCAAAGGAAUGAAUGCAAGAAUUUCUGAGGCCCGCGAAGAAGGCAAUGGAGACGAGAGGAUUGCCGAAUUUAUUGGAUAAGGAGGAGGCAUGUCCCAUGGGUAAGCCACCAGCUUUCCAUCCUUCGUAAUCUUGAAAGGAUUGUACUCCGAGAGGAUGAGGUCAACGUAUAUUUGUGGUGGCUUGAGUUCCCUCGAGAGGCUGCAAAUCCCGCUAACUAAUGUCUCAGUGACACAUUCUGCUUGAUCAAUAGCACAAGAUUGGACCCUUGACUCGUAUGCUUCAGGGAAAGGUCGCUUGGAUUUGGGUAGGAUGGAUGAUUUCCACUGACGAGCCUCCGCCUCAAAGAAUGUCGCCUUCUGGCAAAGAUGAGGUACCCAGGUUUGGUCAAAAGAGUUGACAUAGUUCCAUGCAGCCGAAUCAGCAGGUAUCAGUUCAUAUGCUCUACGAUAAAGCUUAUAAACCUACACAUCAUCAUCAUCAUCAAUUCAUCAUCAUUAGAGUGAAAAAUAAAUGUAAAAUCAAUCAAGAGUGAAGACUGACCGAUCUAAAAAAUAGGGCACAUCGGUGUUGUUGGAGACGGUAACUGCCGCCCUUGUUGUUGAGUUCUUCCCCUAAUUCGAGCUCGAAAGCCUGAGCGGAGAAGAGGAGGUGCAGAAACUUCGCGAAGCGGCGAGUCAAAUCGAGGGUGGCGGAGACCACGCCAUUGGCAAAAACCUUCCAGAGUUUCAAGAAGAAAUUGGCGGCAACUUUGAAGGCUUCCAUAGCAAGGUGACGGCCAAGGGCGGUGGUACGGUCGCAAGAGGCAGCAAUCUGGCUGCAUAUGGCUCCAAGGUUGAAGACAACGGCGGCCUUCUCCAAUUGGAUGGCGUUGCGCUCUGAGGAGACUCCAUCCUGAUGGUCAGGGUUGAAGGCGUCGUACCAGACAAAGAUGACGGGAUCCACGUCGGCGUCGGAGGAGAUAGAGGUGAAGAGUAGCUCAACCAUGGAAAGGCAUUUGAAGUAGUGGAUGAGGCAGUCACGUUGCAUGGGAAGGGAGAGGUCCCCUCUACGCUCCACCAUGUCCCUACGGCAUUUGUUUAGGGUUUCGAGAACGCUUUCAACUUU